rnacentral:rRNA from 1 species
GACGAACGCUGGCGGUGUGCUUAACACAUGCAAGUCGAACGGAAAGGCCUCUUUCGGGGGGUACUCGAGUGGCGAACGGGUGAGUAACACGUGAGUAACCUGCCCUUGACUUUGGGAUAACUUCUGGAAACUGGGGCUAAUACCGGAUAGGAGCUCCUGCUGCAUGGUGGGGGUUGGAAAGUUUCGGCGGUUGGGGAUGGACUCGCGGCUUAUCAGCUUGUUGGUGGGGUAGUGGCUUACCAAGGCUUUGACGGGUAGCCGGCCUGGGAGGGUGACCGGCCACAUUGGGACUGAGAUACGGCCCAGACUCCUACGGGGGGCAGCAGGGGGGAAUAUUGCACAAUGGGUGGAAGCCUGAUGCAGCAACGCCGGGGGCGGGAUGACGGCCUUCGGGUUGGAAACCGCUUUCGCUCAUGACGAAGCUUUGUGUGACGGUAGUGGGUAAAGAAGCACCGGCUAACUACGUG